AAUUCCACGUACAUGUAGCUAUCACAGCCCUCACACAGCAUGUUAUAAAGGCGUCUAGAAUCAGCUGAGAUGACCUUGCAUAUAACACGUGUCGCAACAAAAGCAUUCCAACAACAACAAAACAGAAUGCGUGAAUUUUUCCAGUCCAUUGUCACCUGACGCUGUAUCACGUGACUUUACAAGCAGAUUAGGUGUCCUGCAUCAUAAAUAUCCACGUAGAUAUCACAGCCCUCACACAGCAUGUUAUAAAGAUCGCUUAGGGACCUUACAAGUUUCGCAGAGAUAUAGCAAGGAUUAAAAUGAUAAACACACAAUAUGACUAAACUAACAUACCGGUAGUUGAUGUUCUGAUACCAGUACACUAGUCCCAGACAAAGUAUUUCAUAUGUGGAGAUAAACGAUAAACAAAUCCCAUUCGAACAAUGAUGUAAAGGGGAGGCACAACUGGAUAUUUUACAAGGAAAAAAA